GCUUCACAGAAUUUGAAUUUAAACAUCUUAUUGAACUCACAGCUAGACUGCUGUGCUUCAAGAGAUGGAAAGUAAAGAAAGUAAAGAAAGCUCUGAAGUACUCUCCUGGCUUUGGACCACAUCUUAGCCUGUAAUUUGUGGACACAGGGGCCUGCAAGUGAGGAAAAAUCAUAUAGCAAAUAUCUACAGUGCUGCUAGAAAAAUCCAGCAGCUGGCCAGCUGUCUCUUCAAUGUUCUGAAGAUUCCCAGCUGAUGCUGGAAAGACAAAGGGAAGAUAAAGCAAUGUGAAACUCAGCAUUGCAUCCUACUGUUCCCUGCUGGUUUCUGUUUGAGGCCACAUAUUGAAAGACAAAAACAUUGUUGCCUUCUUUUCCUGAAAUGGGAAAUCUUUUGGUUUAUUUCUGCUUUACAGAUGAGCCUGGAGCAAACCUCCUGAUCAGAGGAGUCCCACAGAUCAGCCUGGGAAGUUCCACCAGGGCAGAAAUCAAUCCCAUCAAGAGGGACAGGUCUGCACUAGCCAAUGCUAUUUACUUAAUAUAAUUAGACUUGUGGCUAAGUGAAAGUGGAUUUGGGCCACUGGACAAAAAGGGAAGGAAUAUUAUGGCAAGGGAAAGAGCACUGAUUUCCUCUCCAGUAGCUCCACUUCUAAACACGGUGUCAGGAAGUUAAUGCAGGGAUUCAGCAGGAGGCAGAGGUGAGACAGAGGGUCCCUUGGGCAGGGUGACCUGGGCGCUGCCUCUGCUGCAGGGCUGCUCUGUGGGCUGUAAUUUCCAUCUCUGCUUUCUGUUUCUCUCCCCAUCCCCAGGCCCAGCUGGCAGGCACUGGAAGCCUGCCAGAGGACAGGUUCUCCCCCCACUGAGGUCAGCACCAAAUGCCUGCUCAGCACAAAGAAGGGCAGGUCCAGCCUCCUGAAUGAGCUGUGCUGCCCGCAGCUGGCACUGCCAGCACAUCCCUGCAGAGCUGAUCCUGCUCCAGCCCAGGCUGCCACACACAUCUCCCCACCCCCUCUUGGUUUUUUUAUUUUUUGCUUUGAAAAAUGACAAUGAAUUCACACAAAGCCUCAAUUACAGAAGAUUAUGGGCUUCAAUUUAGUGUGUGCUGUAAAGUUGUAUUAAACGAUCAAAUGCUAAUGAGGAGAAAGGUUCUUCUAGAGAAAUAAGGAAUUAGCAUAAAUUAAUAGAGUUCCAUAUGUGCAUGUUUUAUGGGGUAACAAAGUAUCUCAUCACCAAAGCAUAAAUAUUUAAUUUCAUUCUUGUUGGGGCCAGUACACAGCAUUACAGUCAGCACAGAAAUAUGAAUUAAAACGUGGGAGGGAGCAGAGUGCUACCCAAUUCAGGUUCACAGGGAGGUCACUGCCAUGGCCCUGCUGCUUUUCUCUGUUUUCCAGCUUCACAGUUUGAAGCCAGGUCCAAAUGGCAAAGCAACAUAUGCAUGGCCUCAUCUGCAGUCUGGGGAGUCUGUUGUUGUCUUCUCUUGGUGUUCCUCAGCUCUACCCAAGAGUAUAUCUGCUGGUUAACACUGGACCCUCCUGCUCCUACAGCUGAGAGAAAAGGCUUCAGAGGAAUUUUUGUGGUGCUUUUACAGCACCUUCCCUAACCAUGUGGAAAAGAGCUGCUGCAGGUAUAAAUUGAGUUGAAUUUGUGAUUUACAUUCAGCCUUACAGUGUAUUUCACAUUAAUGCCGUGAAUGAGUUGCUAUAAUUAAGAUUAAUUUUACUGAGGUAAAAAGCAAGCUCAGUCCUAUCUGUUACCUUCCUGAGCAGCUGUGGCACUGAUCAGCAUAGGCUGCUCCAGCCAUGCUCUCUCUGCACACACAGGGAAGGGUCUUUGUACCACUGAAAUAAACAAAUGGGACUCUUGGGCUGGAUUUUUCUUGUACAACCCAAUUUGUGGGACUCAGGAGAAAAACAUGUUCCAGUCCUGCUGUAUUUCUCAUGUUCUAGUGUUGCACUGCUAGAAGCAUUUCUCUUCAACGGUGCACGUGUGUUCGUGGUGUGUGUUUAGUGGGUUUGCUUUCUCUCCUACAAUUGUGUAAAUAUGUAUGUGUCUAAAGGGGUAAGUUCAUUUUUACCCAACAUUUUGAUAUAUGUAUUUUUGCUGUAUUGUGUAAUUAGGUGAAACUGUAAUUCUAAUCUGAAACUGUACAUGUGAGUACCUACAUGCUUGAUACUUGAGACAGAUAUUUGUGGUUUUGAGAGGAGUUUCCUCUGAUUAUCUCUUACAUUUUGCAUAGAAAUAUGCAGCAAAUUGUUUAAAUCCAUGACCACAGACAGAUAUGUCACCUUUCAAGACUUUUAGGUCAUUAGGUCUUACUUAAUCAUUUUGUUAAUAGGGUUUUUACCAGUUUCCCAUAUGCUGGAAAUAAGGGUUUUUCCUAAGUGUUCAAAUUUGAAAUCACUUCUUCAUUAAUUUGGCACUCCAGGGCAAAGAUCCUAUCAGGCUAAAGGCAAACUGGAGACUUGUCCAGCAGGGAGAAUAGGGAAUUUCUUUUGGAGCACAGAGCUGUUGUAUAACUGGUGGAUAUGGAUCUAAAAAUCCCACUCAGACCUCUCUGCUCUGGUGCAUAUUACAUCAAGGAGAGCAGGAGAUCAGUUCUGGUAUUUCUGGUGAUAACACAGAGAGCACAACUUCUGUCUGAUGAUAUUUUGAUUGAUCUGAGUUGCUGUACUUGGCUUCAAAGGAAAGACUGGCUUUGACUUAGCAGAACAGAAACCAGGUCUGAUAUUACUGCCAAUUAGACCAUGUGUACCUGCUCACUGUCCAUUGGUUUUCUACUUUGAUUUUGACUUUUUUGAGCCAGCCCUGGGGCAGGAGUGUCGGUGCUGUGUCAGUGAUACCACAGUGACCUCAUCACAGCCUGAAUGCACAGAGGUCCAGGAGAACACGUUUCUCUUUGGGGAUUGGGGAUGAACUCGCUGCCAACAGGCUGCCCAUGUUUGCAUCUUCCCCUUGCACCAACUGAAACUAAUUCAAAUUAGUCCCUUUUGAGAAUCAGUAUGUCAAGAGAUCUGUCUUGAUGGCAGAGCCUGGGAGGGCAGGGGAAAUGUCAGUCCUGUUUGUGCACCCUGCUGGCUCUGGGUGACUUUCUGCCAGGUUAGGUGUUUGACAGCUGUUCUGGGGUGUGUGCUCCCAGCCACUGGCCUGACAACCAUCAUGAAGCCAAUUACAGUCACAGGCAAUUAAUGCUCCCCUCCUCAGGUUCUCGUGGAAAUGGUAGCAUAAUGCAGAGGAUCAGCGUGAAAUCUGUGACCUUUGGAAACAGAAGCCUGAGACGGGAGCUGGGCUUGUGUCCACAUCAACUGUGUCCAAUUAAGCUCUUAAGGCAUGGAAGGGAGAUGGAAAAUUACAUGUUUCAUAAAGGCAACGAGAAUAAUUUUUUUCCUCUCACUUCCAAACACAAUAGCUUCUAGCUGACCUGAAAAUACCAGCCCUUUCCCCACGCUCUCCCUGCAUCAGUUACUCACAUCUUGUGGUUAGUCUCCUCUAACAACAGCUGCAAAUUGAUACAGAUUUUCUGUGUUGUUGUGCACAGCCCAGCAUGCAGAGUUCCUCCUGCUCUGAGCUGUGUGCAGGCAGCUCUAAAGGGACAGCUCCUCCCAUGGUGCAAACCAGUGUGAAGCCACUGAAAUGGAGAGAGAAGUUUAUCUGCUACCUUUGAGCUCCUUGCCCAACAUGGAUUUCAGCCUAGCAAGGAAAGAGAAGACCUUCCCCAGGGAGAUACAGCCAAUUAACACGUGUACAACUGUCCCAGGGUGGGUUUUUUGGGGUUCUACACUCUAGAGAGAGAUUGAAAACAAACAAUGAGAACUUUCAGUUUAAUUACUGGGCGACACAACCUCAACUUUUGUUUUUCCCUCCUUCCCAGCUGCACCAAAAUCAGGGAUGUUAUUCUAGUCCAAGCUGAAGUAGAGGCAUUUCUUUCUGUCCUGGUCACGGUGGGUCAUGGUUUUUCUGUUUGCCUCUGUGUAUGCGUGUGUGAAUGGCCCAAUUCUGGUGUGGGCAGGAGCAGAAUCAAUGUGCAGAGCUCCAGUUUACCAUGCAGAAAGCCAACAAAGAGAGGUUUGAGCAAAUAGCUUGGAAUUCAGGGAGUUAGCAAAGAAAUUGUGUGACAGCAACACCUAGAGUUCAGAUGUUUCAUCUGCUUUACUACAGAUGCAGAGAAUUUGUUUAUUUACUUUGAGAAGAUCAGGAAGUUGCCAUGAAGCAAACUGGGAUUUU
ensembl:lncRNA